rnacentral:rRNA from 1 species
CCUACGGGAGGCAGCAGUGGGGAAUAUUGCACAAUGGGGGGAACCCUGAUGCAGCGACGCCGCGUGAGUGAUGAAGUUUUUCGGUAUGUAAAGCUCUAUCAGCAGGGAAGAAAAUGACGGUAUCUGACUAAUAAGCCCCGGCUAACUACGUGCCAGCAGCCGCGGUAAUACGUAGGGGGCAAGCGUUAUCCGGAUUUACUGGGUGUAAAGGGAGCGCAGGCGGCUGUGCAAGUCUGGAGUGAAAGGCUGUGGCUCAACCACCGGACUGCUUUUGAAACUGUAAAGCUGGAGUGCAGGAGAGGUAAGCGGAAUUCGUGGUGUAGCGGUGAAAUGCGUAGAUAUUAGGAGGAACACCAGUGGCGAAGGCGGCUUACUGGACUGCAACUGACGUUGAGGCUCGAAAGCGUGGGGAGCAAACAGGAUUAGAUACCCCUGUAGUC